rnacentral:rRNA from 1 species
ACGCACAGUUUAUACCGUAGCUUGCUACACCAUAGACUGUGAGUUGCGAACGGGUGAGUAACGCGUAGGUAACCUACCUAUUAGAGGGGGAUAACUAUUGGAAACGAUAGCUAAUACCGCAUAACAGUAUGUAACACAUGUUAGAUGCUUGAAAGAUGCAAUUGCAUCGCUAGUAGAUGGACCUGCGUUGUAUUAGCUAGUAGGUAGGGUAAUGGCCUACCUAGGCAACGAUACAUAGCCGACCUGAGAGGGUGAUCGGCCACACUGGGACUGAGACACGGCCCAGACUCCUACGGGAGGCAGCAGUAGGGAAUCUUCGGCAAUGGGGGGAACCCUGACCGAGCAACGCCGCGUGAGUGAAGAAGGUUUUCGGAUCGUAAAGCUCUGUUGUUAAGGAAGAACGAGUGUGAGAAUGGAAAGUUCAUGCUGUGACGGUACUUAACCAGAAAGGGACGGCUAACUACGUGCCAGCAGCCGCGGUAAUACGUAGGUCCCGAGCGUUGUCCGGAUUUAUUGGGCGUAAAGCGAGCGCAGGCGGUUAGAAAAGUCUGAAGUGAAAGGCAGUGGCUCAACCAUUGUAGGCUUUGGAAACUGUUUAACUUGAGUGCAGAAGGGGAGAGUGGAAUUCCAUGUGUAGCGGUGAAAUGCGUAGAUAUAUGGAGGAACACCGGUGGCGAAAGCGGCUCUCUGGUCUGUAACUGACGCUGAGGCUCGAAAGCGUGGGGAGCGAACAGGAUUAGAUACCCUGGUAGUCCACGCCGUAAACGAUGAGUGCUAGGUGUUAGGUCCUUUCCGGGACUUAGUGC